rnacentral:tRNA from 1 species
GUCUCGGAUAGCUUAAGGGAAGAGCAGUUGACGCAAUACCAACAGCUCCAGGUUCAAGUCCUGGUCUGGGCC